rnacentral:rRNA from 1 species
GACAGAGGGGGCAAGCGUUGCUCGGAAUCACUGGGCGUAAAGGGCGCGUAGGCGGGAUGGCAAGUCGGUCGUGAAAUCUCUCGGCUCAACCGAGAAACGUCGGCCGAUACUGCCGUUCUUGAGGGAUGCAGAGGAGACUGGAAUUCCCGGUGUAGCGGUGAAAUGUGUAGAGAUCGGGAGGAACACCGGUGGCGAAGGCGGGUCUCUGGGCAUUUCCUGACGCUGAGGCGCGAAAGCGUGGGGAGCAAACGGG